UUUUUGUUUGGAGAGUUUGAUUCUGGCUCAGGACGAACGCUGGCGGCGUGCUUAACACAUGCAAGUCGAACGGUAAGGCCCUUCGGGGUACACGAGUGGCGAACGGGUGAGUAACACGUGGGUAAUCUGCCCUGCACAUCGGGAUAAGCCUGGGAAACUGGGUCUAAUACCGAAUAGGACCACAGGACACAUGUCCUGUGGUGGAAAGCUUUUGCGGUGUGGGAUGGGCCCGCGGCCUAUCAGCUUGUUGGUGGGGUGAUGGCCUACCAAGGCGACGACGGGUAGCCGGCCUGAGAGGGUGUCCGGCCACACUGGGACUGAGAUACGGCCCAGACUCCUACGGGAGGCAGCAGUGGGGAAUAUUGCACAAUGGGCGAAAGCCUGAUGCAGCGACGCCGCGUGGGGGAUGACGGCCUUCGGGUUGUAAACCUCUUUCACCAUCGACGAAGGUCCGGGUUUUCUCGGGCUGACGGUAGGUGGAGAAGAAGCACCGGCCAACUACGUGCCAGCAGCCGCGGUAAUACGUAGGGUGCGAGCGUUGUCCGGAAUUACUGGGCGUAAAGAGCUCGUAGGUGGUUUGUCGCGUUGUUCGUGAAAUCUCACGGCUUAACUGUGAGCGUGCGGGCGAUACGGGCAGACUUGAGUACUGCAGGGGAGACUGGAAUUCCUGGUGUAGCGGUGGAAUGCGCAGAUAUCAGGAGGAACACCGGUGGCGAAGGCGGGUCUCUGGGCAGUAACUGACGCUGAGGAGCGAAAGCGUGGGGAGCGAACAGGAUUAGAUACCCUGGUAGUCCACGCCGUAAACGGUGGGUACUAGGUGUGGGUUUCCUUCCUUGGGAUCCGUGCCGUAGCUAACGCAUUAAGUACCCCGCCUGGGGAGUACGGCCGCAAGGCUAAAACUCAAAGAAAUUGACGGGGGCCCGCACAAGCGGCGGAGCAUGUGGAUUAAUUCGAUGCAACGCGAAGAACCUUACCUGGGUUUGACAUGCACAGGACGCCGGCAGAGAUGUCGGUUCCCUUGUGGCCUGUGUGCAGGUGGUGCAUGGCUGUCGUCAGCUCGUGUCGUGAGAUGUUGGGUUAAGUCCCGCAACGAGCGCAACCCUUGUCUCAUGUUGCCAGCGGGUAAUGCCGGGGACUCGUGAGAGACUGCCGGGGUCAACUCGGAGGAAGGUGGGGAUGACGUCAAGUCAUCAUGCCCCUUAUGUCCAGGGCUUCACACAUGCUACAAUGGCCGGUACAAAGGGCUGCGAUGCCGCGAGGUUAAGCGAAUCCUUUUAAAGCCGGUCUCAGUUCGGAUCGGGGUCUGCAACUCGACCCCGUGAAGUCGGAGUCGCUAGUAAUCGCAGAUCAGCAACGCUGCGGUGAAUACGUUCCCGGGCCUUGUACACACCGCCCGUCACGUCAUGAAAGUCGGUAACACCCGAAGCCAGUGGCCUAACCCUUUGGGAGGGAGCUGUCGAAGGUGGGAUCGGCGAUUGGGACGAAGUCGUAACAAGGUAGCCGUACCGGAAGGUGCGGCUGGAUCACCUCCUUUCUAAGGAG
rnacentral:rRNA from 2 species